rnacentral:rRNA from 1 species
UUGAUCCUGGCUCAGGACGAACGCUGGCGGCGCGCCUAACACAUGCAAGUCGAACGAGAGAUGAGGAGCUUGCUCUUCAAAUCGAGUGGCGAACGGGUGAGUAACGCGUGAGGAACCUGCCUCAAAGAGGGGGACAACAGUUGGAAACGACUGCUAAUACCGCAUAAGCCCACGGCUCGGCAUCGAGCAGAGGGAAAAGGAGCAAUCCGCUUUGAGAUGGCCUCGCGUCCGAUUAGCUAGUUGGUGAGGUAAUGGCCCACCAAGGCGACGAUCGGUAGCCGGACUGAGAGGUUGAACGGCCACAUUGGGACUGAGACACGGCCCAGACUCCUACGGGAGGCAGCAGUGGGGAAUAUUGCACAAUGGGGGAAACCCUGAUGCAGCGACGCCGCGUGGAGGAAGAAGGUCUUCGGAUUGUAAACUCCUGUUGUUGAGGAAGAUAAUGACGGUACUCAACAAGGAAGUGACGGCUAACUACGUGCCAGCAGCCGCGGUAAAACGUAGGUCACAAGCGUUGUCCGGAAUUACUGGGUGUAAAGGGAGCGCAGGCGGGAGAACAAGUUGGAAGUGAAAUCCAUGGGCUCAACCCAUGAACUGCUUUCAAAACUGUUUUUCUUGAGUAGUGCAGAGGUAGGCGGAAUUCCCGGUGUAGCGGUGGAAUGCGUAGAUAUCGGGAGGAACACCAGUGGCGAAGGCGGCCUACUGGGCACCAACUGACGCUGAGGCUCGAAAGUGUGGGUAGCAAACAGGAUUAGAUACCCUGGUAGUCCACACCGUAAACGAUGAUUACUAGGUGUUGGAGGAUUGACCCCUUCAGUGCCGCAGUUAACACAAUAAGUAAUCCACCUGGGGAGUACGACCGCAAGGUUGAAACUCAAAGGAAUUGACGGGGGCCCGCACAAGCAGUGGAGUAUGUGGUUUAAUUCGACGCAACGCGAAGAACCUUACCAAGUCUUGACAUCCCUUGACGAUGCUGGAAACAGUAUUUCUCUUCGGAGCAAGGAGACAGGUGGUGCAUGGUUGUCGUCAGCUCGUGUCGUGAGAUGUUGGGUUAAGUCCCGCAACGAGCGCAACCCUUAUGGUCAGUUACUACGCAAGAGGACUCUGGCCAGACUGCCGUUGACAAAACGGAGGAAGGUGGGGAUGACGUCAAAUCAUCAUGCCCUUUAUGACUUGGGCUACACACGUACUACAAUGGCGUUAAACAAAGAGAAGCAAGACCGCGAGGUGGAGCAAAACUCAGAAACAACGUCCCAGUUCGGACUGCAGGCUGCAACUCGCCUGCACGAAGUCGGAAUUGCUAGUAAUCGUGGAUCAGCAUGCCACGGUGAAUACGUUCCCGGGCCU